CCCCUUUUAAAAGCACUCCGUGGGCCUUUUGCUAAUGACCCACUGAGCUGUCAAGAAAGGUCAAAGUAAAAACACCACUUUUGGCCCUAACCGGUUUGGCUCAGUGGAUAAAG